CUGUGAGGCAUGCUGGAGGUAUCAGAAGUGCGAAUGCUGACAUAAGUAACGAUAAAGCGGGUGAAAAGCCCGCUCGCCGGAAGACCAAGGGUUCCUGUCCAACGUUAAUCGGGGCAGGGUGAGUCGACCCCUAAGGCGAGGCCGAAAGGCGUAGUCGAUGGGAAACAGGUUAAUAUUCCUGUACUUGGUGUUACUGCGAAGGGGGGACGGAGAAGGCUAUGUUGGCCGGGCGACGGUUGUCCCGGUUUAAGCGUGUAGGCUGGUUUUCCAGGCAAAUCCGGAAAAUCAAGGCUGAGGCGUGAUGACGAGGCACUACGGUGCUGAAGCAACAAAUGCCCUGCUUCCAGGAAAAGCCUCUAAGCAUCAGGUAACAUUAAAUCGUACCCCAAACCGACACAGGUGGUCAGGUAGAGAAUACCAAGGCGCUUGAGAGAACUCGGGUGAAGGAACUAGGCAAAAUGGUGCCGUAACUUCGGGAGAAGGCACGCUGAUAUGUAGGUGAAGUCCCUCGCGGAUGGAGCUGAAAUCAGUCGAAGAUACCAGCUGGCUGCAACUGUUUAUUAAAAACACAGCACUGUGCAAACACGAAAGUGGACGUAUACGGUGUGACGCCUGCCCGGUGCCGGAAGGUUAAUUGAUGGGGUUAGCGGUAACGCGAAGCUCUUGAUCGAAGCCCCGGUAAACGGCGGCCGUAACUAUAACGGUCCUAAGGUAGCGAAAUUCCUUGUCGGGUAAGUUCCGACCUGCACGAAUGGCGUAAUGAUGGCCAGGCUGUCUCCACCCGAGACUCAGUGAAAUUGAACUCGCUGUGAAGAUGCAGUGUACCCGCGGCAAGACGGAAAGACCCCGUGAACCUUUACUAUAGCUUGACACUGAACAUUGAGCCUUGAUGUGUAGGAUAGGUGGGAGGCUUUGAAGUGUGGACGCCAGUCUGCAUGGAGCCGACCUUGAAAUACCACCCUUUAAUGUUUGAUGUUCUAACGUUGACCCGUAAUCCGGGUUGCGGACAGUGUCUGGUGGGUAGUUUGACUGGGGCGGUCUCCUCCUAAAGAGUAACGGAGGAGCACGAAGGUUGGCUAAUCCUGGUCGGACAUCAGGAGGUUAGUGCAAUGGCAUAAGCCAGCUUGACUGCGAGCGUGACGGCGCGAGCAGGUGCGAAAGCAGGUCAUAGUGAUCCGGUGGUUCUGAAUGGAAGGGCCAUCGCUCAACGGAUAAAAGGUACUCCGGGGAUAACAGGCUGAUACCGCCCAAGAGUUCAUAUCGACGGCGGUGUUUGGCACCUCGAUGUCGGCUCAUCACAUCCUGGGGCUGAAGUAGGUCCCAAGGGUAUGGCUGUUCGCCAUUUAAAGUGGUACGCGAGCUGGGUUUAGAACGUCGUGAGACAGUUCGGUCCCUAUCUGCCGUGGGCGCUGGAGAACUGAGGGGGGCUGCUCCUAGUACGAGAGGACCGGAGUGGACGCAUCACUGGUGUUCGGGUUGUCAUGCCAAUGGCACUGCCCGGUAGCUAAAUGCGGAAGAGAUAAGUGCUGAAAGCAUCUAAGCACGAAACUUGCCCCGAGAUGAGUUCUCCCUGACCCUUUAAGGGUCCUGAAGGAACGUUGAAGACGACGACGUUGAUAGGCCGGGUGUGUAAGCGCAGCGAUGCGUUGAGCUAACCGGUACUAAUGAACCGUGAGGCUUAACCUU
rnacentral:rRNA from 1 species